CAGCUAGGAGAGUUUUGGCAGCUAGAUGGCCGAAUGUUGAGAUACCUCCUCUGCAGGACAUCAUAACAAAAAUUGAGAAGAACCUUUUAAUGGACGAAUUAAGCUCCAAGGUAAGACAUUCCUCCACCUCCAUUCAUAAGGUGCGGAGUCCUUGGAAAUAAUAUAUAACUGGUAAACAGAAAUCAGUUUAUAUGACAAGAGUUAUUCAUACCAGAUUUUGUCCAGGUGAACAAAAUCCAGUGAGAAUGGCCAAAUUCCAACCAGAAUGGCAAUUCACAUAUUCAGUCAGAAUUUGGCCAGCCUUACCAAAUCUGCACUAAUUACUCGGAUACAUUCUUUGUCUAGUUUUAGAUCAGUGUUUUAUUGCACUUGUUUAAAGCACCAAUUUUAAACAAAAUCAGGACCAGAUGCAUCUAAAAGGAUGCACGUUCACAAAUUACAUUUAGAAAAAAAAAAAUGUCUGUAUGCCAUUAUGAAUGAAUGUCUAUAUGCCAUUAUGAAUGUAUGUGUGUAUGGAUGUCAGUGUCUGUAUGUCUGUCAGCAUGUCUGUAUAUGUAUGUAUGUCUGUAGGUCAUUAUGAAUGUAUAUGUGUAUGGAUGUCGGUGUCUGUAUGUAUGUCAGUGUGUAUGUAUG